GUUCGAGUAUGUGAUAUUUCGGAACAGAAUCUAGUUCCUUCGAUAUCAAUGUUAUCUAAUAAUAAUCAUGAUUUUUUCUGUGUUGGUGUAAUGUACUCAGGUGAAUAUGAUGCUUGUGAUAUUACUCCGAGUGUAUAUCCACACCGAGCAAGCUUGAAAAAUAUGCCUGACCACGGUGGGAAUCGAACCUACGACCUUUCGAAUGCUAGCCCAAUGCUCUGCCAACUGAGCUACGCGGUCU